rnacentral:ncRNA from 2 species
UUUCAUCCUUGUGGCGAUGGUGGCGCGGUCUUCGGGGCUGCGCCUGAAAAGGGAAUGCGGUGCGCCCGUCCGGGCAAGGCCGCGGCUGCCCCCGCAACUGUGAGCGACGAGCAACGCCGGAAAUGCCACUGGGCCCGCGCCCGGGAAGGUCCGGGGGCGCGAUGACCCGCAAGCCAGGAGACCUGCCAUCGCAGACGUUUCGGG